rnacentral:rRNA from 1 species
AUACGGGGGGUGCAAGCGUUAAUCGGAAUUACUGGGCGUAAAGCGCGCGUAGGCGGUUAAAUAAGUUGGAUGUGAAAUCCCCGGGCUCAACCUGGGAACUGCAUUCAAAACUGUUUAACUAGAGUAUGGUAGAGGGAAGUGGAAUUCCAGGUGUAGCGGUGAAAUGCGUAGAUAUCUGGAGGAACAUCAGUGGCGAAGGCGACUUCCUGGAUCAAUACUGACGCUGAGGUGCGAAAGCGUGGAGAGCAAACAGAAUUAGAUACCCCAGUAGUCC